rnacentral:rRNA from 1 species
AUGGGCGGUGCUAUACAUGCAGUCGAGCGGACCGACGGGAGCUUGCUCCCUUAGGUCAGCGGCGGACGGGUGAGUAACACGUGGGUAACCUGCCUGUAAGACUGGGAUAACUCCGGGAAACCGGGGCUAAUACCGGAUGCUUGAUUGAACCGCAUGGUUCCAUCAUAAAAGGUGGCUUUUAGCUACCACUUGCAGAUGGACCCGCGGCGCAUUAGCUAGUUGGUGAGGUAACGGCUCACCAAGGCGACGAUGCGUAGCCGACCUGAGAGGGUGAUCGGCCACACUGGGACUGAGACACGGCCCAGACUCCUACGGGAGGCAGCAGUAGGGAAUCUUCCGCAAUGGACGAAAGUCUGACGGAGCAACGCCGCGUGAGUGAUGAAGGUUUUCGGAUCGUAAAACUCUGUUGUUAGGGAAGAACAAGUACCGUUCGAAUAGGGCGGUACCUUGACGGUACCUAACCAGAAAGCCACGGCUAACUACGUGCCAGCAGCCGCGGUAAUACGUAGGUGGCAAGCGUUGUCCGGAAUUAUUGGGCGUAAAGCGCGCGCAGGCGGUUUCUUAAGUCUGAUGUGAAAGCCCCCGGCUCAACCGGGGAGGGUCAUUGGAAACUGGGGAACUUGAGUGCAGAAGAGGAGAGUGGAAUUCCACGUGUAGCGGUGAAAUGCGUAGA